rnacentral:guide_RNA from 1 species
AACGACAAUCUGAUAUCGUAUCUAAUGAAUGUGAUAAU